CAGUCGCCACGGUAAUACGGAGGGGGCUAGCGUUGUUCGGAAUUACUGGGCGUAAAGCGCACGUAGGCGGCUUGGUAAGUUAGAGGUGAAAGCCUGGAGCUCAACUCCAGAAUUGCCUUUAAGACUGCCGAGCUAGCAGGUGAGAGAGGUAAGUGGAAUUCCGAGUGUAAAGGUGAAAUUCGUAGAUAUUCGGAAGAACACCAGUGGCGAAGGCGGCUUACUGGCUCAUACUGGACGCUGAGGUGCGAAAGCGUGGGGAGCAAACAGGAUUAGAUACCCGUGUAGUCCCUGUCUCUUAUAU
rnacentral:rRNA from 1 species